rnacentral:piRNA from 1 species
UCUUUGGGACCUCAUUGGGACCUCAGUUUU